UAAUAUUUAAGUGAUGCAUUUAUACAUAAUAAAAAUUUAUUUCUUAAUGUUCAGAAAGAACGACAAAAUAAUUGACGGUGCAAAAAUACUCAAAUCUACAUUAAUCAAUAUUUUACACAAUUCUAAAAUAGAUUUAUGACCCAAGGAAAAGAAAAAUCACAAUCGUGGGUGUAAUUGAGGAUUGCUUUCUUGAGCAAUUAGCUUUAUCGCAGUUUACUUUUCAUAGUUAUAUUCUUGCUGUCCUCGCGUACGAGUUUUAAUCAUUCUGGAAAUGACGAAUGAUCAUGUGGAUUUUUAAAAAUAAUUGUAUAUCGGUAAAUCUAAUAUUUUUUCUCUCAUGAUGGAACGAUCAUUAAUUCAAGAUAAAGGAAAAACUUCGUUGAAUAUCUGUAUAUAACCAGUCAGCUACAAAAUUGAGAUAUUUUUUUGAGUAACCAAUUCAAUUAGUCAGAUAAAUGGGCCUAUUCAUCUGUCACCAAUUCAUUUACAGUCGCACGCGCCGCAGGGGAUAAAAUGCAGUUACACAUUCCAAUACUGCAAAAGAAGUGGACGAUGAACGGAGGAAAGAAAGAAAGAAAAAGAUGGUCAGGUCAGCUAAGAGCUAUCUGUAACCAUUAAGUCGACCGAACAACACCGAUACAAAUGCCUCUGCUUUUGUAUAUAAUUAAUCGAGGAGAAUAAAAACGUGAAUCGCGCUUCUGGAUUUUUCUCUACAACUUUGAAGAUUAAAUAAACGUGUGUAAGACAGUAGCAGACCACCAAGGUCGAAGUCACAAUUAUUCGCAUAAAUUAAAAAAAUUACAAUCAUUUUUAUUCAAUCAAUUAGCCAAGAUAACUCGGAUUUGAAUAAAUUUCUGUCAAUUAUCUCUCUCUCUCUCUCUCUCUCGAUCUGGUUAAUCAGAAUAAUUUAUUUAUGAUAUUGAUAAGGUAGAAAUAAAAUUUAUUUUUUGUAUUCAAAUAUUUUCAGAUUCAUUUCGUGAUGAGAUUCCAAACUAAACGAUUUUUCAAGUGUUGAUUCUGAGGUGGGUUGGUAAAAAUUGUAAAUGAAAUGUGACAGUGAUUUAUGAAUAAAUGAUGACAUUUAAAUUCACCAGCCAAUUUUUGAAUGAAUCAUGACUUUUUUUUUUAAUUAAACAUCUUGACACGUGAAAAUAAUUGAUCAAUACA